CCGAGUUUACAACUCCCAAACCCCUGUGAACUUAUACCUUUACUGUUGCUUCGGCGGGUUAUUGCCCCGGGGAAACAGGCGGCCGUCAGGUCCCUGCCCACCCGGAAACAGGCGCCCGCCGGGGGACUCAAACUCUAUAUUUAUUUUUGUUUUACUGUAUACUGUCUGAGUACAAUCAUAAUAAUGAAUCA
rnacentral:misc_RNA from 1 species